AACUGAUACUACCUGCGGGAACCUGCGGAAGGAUCAUUACCGAGUUUACAACUCCCAAACCCCUGUGAACAUACCACUUGUUGCCUCGGCGGAUCAGCCCGCUCCCGGUAAAACGGGACGGCCCGCCAGAGGACCCCUAAACUCUGUUUCUAUAUGUAACUUCUGAGUAAAACCAUAAAUAAAUCAAAACUUUUAACAAUGGAUCUCU
rnacentral:misc_RNA from 1 species